UGAAACCGUACGGCACAUAGUGCCAUAUGGAUUGAAUGCAUGGUAAUUAAGAUGCCAUGCAUCUUAAUUAAUUUGAUGCAUGUUAGCCUUUUGAUCUAUAUACAUAUAGAGAUCAAUCUCUCCGAUUUCUCUCCCGCGCACGUGUUUCUCUCCGAUCAACUUCUCUACUCUUCAUCGACUGGUGGAUCAUGAAAGGAUUGCUAGCACCGUCCAGAUGGUCCGUGACUCAUCCUAUUCGUGAGACGAAGAUCGAUCGGGUCGUAGAUUCGGUGUGGAUACGCGUAGAGGCCGGGCAUGUGCGCGGCUCAUCGGAAUCUCUGUUCGUCAUAUUCAGUUUCAACCGUACAGUAGAUCAAGAGACCUUAACUGGUCCACGGUAAGAUCUCUAAACAUAAAGAGUUUUGUUUAGAUUAAAAUUUUUGCAUAGUAACAUGAGAAUGAUCCGCCGGCAACGGUUUAAUUUAUUGGUUUUCGGUUUUCAUAUGUGAUAUGUAUUUAGCUUCCGAAAAAUUUUAAAAGUGCAAAAUUAUUUUCCGCUGCGUUUUUCUGAUAUGCCGGUUAAUUUCUAAAACAUUCAUAUUAGAUUUAUCCUUUAGAUAACAUAGUAUUAUAGCCAGCUCAA
rnacentral:lncRNA from 1 species